rnacentral:tRNA from 1 species
AAUGAUGUAGCUCAGUGGUAGAGCACUUGCCUAGCAUGUGUGAGGCCCUGGGUUCUAUCCCUAGUACCAGCA